AUACGUAGGGUGCAAGCGUUAAUCGGAAUUACUGGGCGUAAAGCGUGCGCAGGCGGUUUUGUAAGACAGAGGUGAAAUCCCCGGGCUCAACCUGGGAACUGCCUUUGUGACUGCAAGGCUAGAGUACGGCAGAGGGGGAUGGAAUUCCGCGUGUAGCAGUGAAAUGAGUAGAUAUGCGGAGGAAAACCGAUGGCGAAGGCAAUGCCCUGGGACUGUACUGACGCGCAUGCACGAAAGCUUGGGGAGCAAACAGGAAUAGAGACCCAGGUAGUCCACGCCCUAAACAAUGUCAACUGGUUGUUGGGUCUUCAUUGACUCAGUAACGAAGCUAACGCGGUAAGUUGACCGCCUGGGAAGUACGGCCGCAAGGUUGAAACUCAAAUGAAUUGACGGGG
rnacentral:rRNA from 1 species